UACGACUACAUAUCAGGCAUAUCAAUAAGCGGAGGAAAAGAAACUAACAAGGAUUCCCCUAGUAACGGCGAGUGAAGCGGGAAGAGCUCAAAUUUGAAAUCUUAAAGGUUUCCCUUGACGAAUUGUAGUUUAUAGAAGUGUUUUCUGUAGUGGAGUUCUGGUAAAAGUUCUUUGGAAUAGGACAUCAUAGAGGGUGAGAAUCCCGUAUUUGAUCAUUAUUCCUAGCUGUGUGAUACACUUUCAAAGAGUCGGAUUGUUUGGGAAUGCAGUCCAAAAUGGGUGGUAAAUUUCAUCUAAAGCUAAAUAUUGGCGAGAGACCGAUAGCGAACAAGUACCGUGAGGGAAAGAUGAAAAGAACUUUGAAAAGAGAGUUAAACAGUACGUGAAAUUGUCAAAAGGGAAGCGUUUGACACCAGUGUUGUUUUCUCGAAAAUCAAUUAAAAAGUAUGGGAUUUUGUAUUGUUAAGACCUUAUCAGCUUACGGUACUUUUUUCUUAUUCUUUUUAAUGCACUUUUCGUUUAACAAGUCAACAUCAAUUUCUUUUGUUGUAAAAGAGUCAUUGGAAGGUGGCUUUCACUUCGGUGAAAGUGUUUAUAGCCUUUGACUUCUGCAAUCGGAGAGACUGAGGUCUGCAGCGUAGAUCCUUCGGGGUUAGAUACGUAGAUGCUAAGUUAUAGUUUUUCAUAGACAACUUGUUGACUAUGAUUAAUCAUGUAGCUUACUCGUUUGCGCUAUUUUACCUACGCUUAGGAUGUUGAAUCUGUGCGAGACUAC
rnacentral:rRNA from 1 species